rnacentral:rRNA from 1 species
AGUGAACGCUGGCGGUAGGCCUAACACACGCAAGUCGAACGGCAGCACAGUAAGAGCUUGCUCUUACGGGUGGCGAGUGGCGGACGGGUGAGGAAUACAUCGGAAUCUACUUUUUCGUGGGGGAUAACGUAGGGAAACUUACGCUAAUACCGCAUACGACCUACGGGUGAAAGCAGGGGAUCUUCGGACCUUGCGCGAUUGAAUGAGCCGAUGUCGGAUUGGCUAGUUGGCGGGGUAAAGGCCCACCAAGGCGACGAUCCGUAGCUGGUCUGAGAGGAUGAUCAGCCACACUGGAACUGAGACACGGUCCAGACUCCUACGGGAGGCAGCAGUGGGGAAUAUUGGACAAUGGGCGCAAGCCUGAUCCAGCCAUACCGCGUGGGUGAAGAAGGCCUUCGGGUUGUAAAGCCCUUUUGUUGGGAAAGAAAAGCAGCAGGUUAAUACCCCGCUGUUCUGACGGUACCCAAAGAAUAAGCACCGGCUAACUUCGUG